ACGAACGCUGGCGGCGUGCUUAACCCAUGCAAGUCGAACGGAAAGGCCCUGCUUUUGUGGGGUGCUCGAGUGGCGAACGGGUGAGUAACACGUGAGUAACCUGCCCUUGACUUUGGGAUAACUUAAGGAAACUGGGGCUAAUACCGGAUAGGAGCUCCUGCUGCAUGGUGGGGGUUGGAAAGUUUCGGCGGUUGGGGAUGGACUCGCGGCUUAUCAGCUUGUUGGUGGGGUAGUGGCUUACCAAGGCUUUGACGGGUAGCCGGCCUGAGAGGGUGACCGGCCACAUUGGGACUGAGAUACGGCCCAGACUCCUACGGGAGGCAGCAGUGGGGAAUAUUGCACAAUGGGCGGAAGCCUGAUGCAGCAACGCCGCGUGCGGGAUGACGGCCUUCGGGUUGUAAACCGCUUUCGCCUGUGACGAAGCGUGAGUGACGGUAAUGGGUAAAGAAGCACCGGCUAACUACGUG
rnacentral:rRNA from 1 species